UAUUCCUCCAAUAGAUUGUUGAAUAAAUGAAUAAGAUUAUUUUUGUAUAGCAUAGUGUGAUAUUGUGGUUGAUUAUUAGCAAGAAUAAAUUAUGUUAGUAUAAACUUUAUGUUAUUAUCUAUUGUUAAGAGCUACGUGGACCUGAUCCUCUAUUGGAGGUACGUAGGCAGCCUUCGGGUGCGGUCGAAAUAUAACAUAUGUUAAGUCUUUAAUUAGCAAAUAGUAGCGAUGUAAAUUCAAGUCAUAUUAACAGAUUUUCAUGUUGAAUAAAUUACUUAUUGGAAAUUUAAUAAGUUUAAUAUGACUAAAAUAAUUAACAUACAAAUAAUUAUAUUUAUAAGAUUAUAGAUAAAAAUAAAGUCACAAAAGAAAUCACUGAAUUAGCAAAGAUAUAGGAGAACAAUUUUCAUAAAGAGACCAUGAGUGAAUUAGACCCUUAAUAUUGCCAAAACUUGACUAUAAUUUAGGAUAGAAGCAUACAUAAGUACCUAAACUGAAUAACUUGGAAAGCUUGUUAAAGGAAC
rnacentral:lncRNA from 1 species